rnacentral:misc_RNA from 1 species
AUAACAAACUCUUUGCGAAAGCGAAGUUUUAAACCCUUUGUGAACCAAAAAUCUUUUUAGCUUCGGUAGCCUUGUAGCAAUGUUACAGUUGUUGCAUGUUAGCCUGCCGGUGGCACCCAAUCAAACUAUUAUUUAAAAUCUUGUCUGAAUAUAAAUUUUCGAAUGAAAAUCAAAACUUUCAACAACGGAUCUCUUGGUUCU